GUCAAUUCAAACUAUUUAAUUUCAGAUUAAAAAUGACUCCUCAUGUGGACUGCAACAUUGCAACACUAAACUAUGGUCUAAGCUAUGCAUCACAUUCUUCGUAUUUUUUUGAUGUGGAAGAGUUCCUUAGCAAUCUUAUAGGUUGGGCACAUUGCUAAAGAGAGGGAGCAGGUGUUGAGAAUGAUGAUGGAGUUUGGGAGAAAAAAACCAAGCAUUCAAAUUCCUGCUGGCGCCAAGAAGCACAAUGCGGGAAAAAACCUGGGUGUGCAUAUAGAGUGUGAGGUCGCUGUAGACUGGAACAAAUAUGUAGACUGCCCCUGGCUCUUUAAGAUAAAACGUCAAAUUACAAAUCUGAGGAGACAGGGGUUGGUAGAGGAGGGUCAGACGCGCUACCCCUUCCCAGCAGAGUUCUCCGAUCUUCUUCCACAGCCAAAUUAAUUCUCCCAAACCUCAUUUUCAUUCCGAACAAAAUUUACAAUAAAGAAUAAAAACAGAAUUAACAUUUUGUAGCAUUAUUUUGAUUAGUAUGAAACGUGAGUAGAUGUCAUUUUUUCCGGGUCUGUUGAUCCUGACAGAUUUAAGAAACUGUCGACCCAAUUUCAAGUGACCCUCCAUUAAGUAGAGGAUACAUGUCUGAUUCUACAACAGUAUGGCAGUAUGGUAGCAAUAUUAAAGGCAGAAAUUACCCAAAAAAAUUUUAUUUUAGAUAAAGGGACUCUUGAUAUUUUGUCGUCAGUUUUUAAAAAACUUGUGUAAUAAUUUUUUAAAUUUUUAAAACACCCUGAAAGUACCGAGUAAUUUCAACUUGUCUACA